rnacentral:rRNA from 1 species
UACAGAGGUCCCGAGCGUUGUUCGGAUUCACUGGGCGUAAAGGGUGCGUAGGUGGUGAGGUAAGUCGGAUGUGAAAGCUCGGAGCUCAACUCCGAAAUGGCAUUGGAAACUACCUUGCUAGAGGGUUGGAGGGGGGACUGGAAUGCUUGGUGUAGCAGUGAAAUGCGUAGAGAUGCGGCGGAACACCGAUGGCGAAGGCAGCCCCCUGGGCUGAGAUUGACGCUCAGGCACGAAAGCGUGGGGAGCAAACAGG